GAUGAACGCUAGCUACAGGCUUAACACAUGCAAGUCGAGGGGCAGCACGGAGAUAGCUUGCUAUCUUGGGUGGCGACCGGCGCACGGGUGAGUAGCGCGUAUCCAACCUGCCCAUUACUCUGGGAUAGCCUUGCGAAAGUAAGAUUAAUACCGGAUGUUGUUAAGAACCCGCAUGAGUUUUUAACCAAAGAUUUAUUGGUAAUGGAUGGGGAUGCGUGACAUUAGGUAGUUGGUGAGGUAACGGCUCACCAAGCCGACGAUGUCUAGGGGUUCUGAGAGGAAGGUCCCCCACACUGGAACUGAGACACGGUCCAGGCUCCUACGGGAGGCAGCAGUGAGGAAUAUUGGUCAAUGGACGAGAGUCUGAACCAGCCAAGUAGCGUGCAGGAUGACGGCCCUCUGGGUUGUAAACUGCUUUUAGUUGGGAAUAAAAAGAGGGACGUGUCCCUAAUUGUAUGUACCAUCAGAAAAAGGACCGGCUAAUUCCGUGCCAGCCGCCGCAGUAACAC
rnacentral:rRNA from 1 species